ACUUGAAUAGCUUAUGUUUAGAGCGCGACGUUGAAGAUGUUGAUGAGGUAGAUUGUAACCUUUAAGUA
rnacentral:tRNA from 1 species